AAGGGUAUAGCUUGGUGAUAGAGUGCAUGCCUAGCAUGCACAAGGUCCUGGGUUCAAUUCCCAGUACCUCUG
rnacentral:tRNA from 1 species